UACGUAGGGGGCUAGCGUUGUCCGGAUUUACUGGGCGUAAAGGGCGCGUAGGCGGCGUGACAAGUCACUUGUGAAAUCUCCGGGCUUAACUCGGAGCGGCCAAGUGAUACUGUCGUGCUAGAGUGCGGAAGGGGCUACUGGAAUUCUCGGUGUAGCGGUGAAAUGCGUAGAUAUCGAGAGGAACACCUGCGGCGAAGGCGGGUAGCUGGGCCGACACUGACGCUGAGGCGCGAAAGCUAGGGGAGCGAACGGG
rnacentral:rRNA from 1 species